rnacentral:rRNA from 1 species
CCUACGGUAGGCAGCAGUGAGGAAUAUUGGUCAAUGGGCGCAAGCCUGAACCAGCCAAGUCGCGUGAGGGAUGACGUUCCUAUGGAUUGUACACCUCUUUUGUCGGUGAGCCCGGCCCGCCACGUGUGGCGUGAAUGAGAGUACCCGACGAAAAAGCAUCGGCUAACUCCUUGCCAGCAGCCACGGUAAUACGGAGGAUGCGAGCGUUAUCCGGAUUUAUUGGGGUUAAAGGGUUCGUAGGCGGGAGGUUAAGUCAGCGGUCAAAUGUCGGUGCUCAACACCGGCCUGCCGUUGAAACUGGUAUUCUUGAGUGAGCGAGAAGUAUGCGGAAUGCGUGGUGUAGCGGUGAAAUGCAUAGAUAUCACGCAGAACUCCGAUUGCGAAGGCAGCAUACCGGAGCUCAACUGACGCUGAGGCACGAAAGCGUGGGGAUCGAACAGGAUUAGAUACCCGGGUAGUC